rnacentral:rRNA from 1 species
UAAGAUGUAAUUUACAUUUUAAGAUUAUUAACGAUAUUUAAUAGGAAAAAUAAUUUUUAAUUUAAUUGUUUAAUUUUAUUAUUAUUUAAUUUUUUUUGUGAUAGAAUAUGUAUUACCGUGUGGGAAAGUUUUAAAUAUUUGGAAAAUGCUUUUGUUUGUAGAAAAGUUAAAGUUUUGUACCUUUUGUAUCAGGGAGCAUUAAUUUUUAAUUUCUAAGAAGAAAUCUUCCCGAAAAAUAAGGAGCUAAUUUAAUUAUUAAGUGGUAGUGUCAUAUACCUUUAUAAUUUUAUUUUAGUGGUUAGAUGCUAUUCAAUUUAUUUGAUAUCUGGUUAUUAAAUAAUUACAUUUAAUGUAGCAUUAAUUUAAGUAUAUUGAAUUUUGAGGUUUAAUAUAUUAAUUAUAUGAGACGGUCUAGGGGAUUUGCUUUAGAUUGUUAUAAAUUUUUAUAAUUUUUUAGUUAUUAAUAUAUAUAAUAAUUAGCUUGAGGAUAGCUAUUUCUAAUAAUUUUGUUAAAAUUUAUUGUUGAGUAGAUAAGAUUUGAUAGAAUUUAAGUAUUUAUUUAAUUAUUAGUGUUAAUUUAUUUUAUUAAAUUAUAAUGAUGUUAUUAGUAUAUUGAGUAGAUUAAUUAAAGGAAUUAGGCAAAAACUGAAUAAAUAUAUUCUCGCCUGUUUAUCAAAAACAUGUCUUCAUGAAAAUUAAGGUUUAUAUGAGGUAUAGCCUGCCCAGUGAUAAUUUUAAAUGGCCGCGGUAUUUUGACCGUGCGAAGGUAGCAUAAUCAUUAGUCUUUUAAUUAAGGGCUGGAAUGAAUGGUUGGACGAGGAAUAUACUGUCUCUAAUUAAUUAAAUAGAAUUUUACUUUAAAGUGAAAAGGCUUUAAUAGUAUAGGGGGACGAUAAGACCCUAUAGAUCUUUAUAAAUGGUAAUAUUAUAUAUUAUAGUUGUUUAUUUUGUUGUAUUAAUAAUUUAUUGUGUUGGGGUGACAGAAAGAUAUGAAUAACUCUUUAUUUUAAUAAUUCAUUGAUGUUUGUUUAUAUAAUUAUUGAUCCAUUAUUUAUGAUUAAAAGACUAAGAUACCUUAGGGAUAACAGCGUAAUCUCUUUUGAGAGACCUUAUCGACGAAGGGGGUUGCGACCUCGAUGUUGGAUUAAGAUAUCAUUUGGGAGCAGUAUUUCAAAUUGGAGGGUCUGUUCGACCCUUAAAAUCUUACAUGAUCUGAGUUCAAACCGGCGUGAGCCAGGUUGGUUUCUAUCUCUUAUUAUAAUUUAUAUUUUAGUACGAAAGGACCAAGUAUAAGUAUUAUAUAUUGUAUUAUGAUUUUUAGUAAUUAUUA